rnacentral:lncRNA from 1 species
UAUCAUUUUUCUUUUUCUUCUUUUUAGAAGGACUAGGUGCAUCAACAUUAGUUCUCUGAGAAUCUUGCUCAAUUCUCUUAGGGUGGCCCUCAGGAUACAAAGGUUCCUGGGUCAUUCUACCCCCUCUAGUCACAACUCUAACAUCAUUAUCAUUUUUCUUAUUAUUUAAUUCAUUGAGCAAAUCAUCUUGAGCUUUAAGUACUUGUUCCACCUAAGUGGUAACCAUAGAAGCAUGUUUACUAAUAAUUUUAAGCUCACCUUUAACUCUAGACAUAUAAUCACUCAAGUGUUCAAUCAUAUAAGCAUUACGUUUCAAUUGUCUACCAACAUAAGCAUUGAAGUUUGGGCCAUUUGCAUUUCUGUCCCUAACUCGAACCACCUACUCAGAUUUACCCCUAAUUUCGAAGCCUACUCAAAUUUGCCCCUCUACCGUUAGGUGAUCUUAUAAAAAUGCCCUUCUGUGCCGUUUCCGUUAGGUCAAAGGCCUUUGACCGUCUACCGAACGUUUCCUGGACAUUUUACCCCUGCCUCCAUGUGCCACUUACAUGUGGGACCCACAGAGAAAAAAUAAAAAGAAAAAACGCUUUCUCACACCCCUCUAUCUCUCACUUACAUGUGGGGCCCAAGAAAAGAAACAAAAAAAUGUCCUAGAAAAUAUGCAUAGGCCCACUUGUCAUACUGUAAUUAUUUGUUGAACAAUAUUUAUUGGAUUAUUAGACAAGAGGACCCGCUGGUUAGUGUCUAGGUUAGUCUGAACUAAUAGGAUAUGGCCCUAAUCUAAUUACACUGUACUUCGGCGAGUGUGCGAGCUCGUCGGCGUCCUACUCGAUGGUGCGGGAACACGCCAGAGGAGGUAUGGGGAGGUGCGAGCACUCCGGCAUGGUCAGGAAGCACAACAACAAGAUGUGGGAUGAUCAACGACCGAGGAAACGACAACAGCUUUCCGCGGCGAGCGGCGACGCUAGGGAGAGAGCGGCUGUUUGUGGGGCGACUGCUCGGGGAUGUAAUCCUCGGCGGCGACGGAUCUAGCAGGUGUAGAAGCAUCACAGAUUUACUAGGAAGCCAACAGAGAGCGUCGGGGCAGCCUAGACGAGGGGAUCAAGGCGCGGCAACACGACAUCGGAGGCAGAGAAGACGAAGACCAAUUCAACGAUUUAUGGCACCUCUGUUGAUUUCAUCCAUAGGGAAGACUCUAUAGGAAUAUAAGAAGCUAAUGGACAUGCUUUUGAGGCUUGGGAUCCACUCUUGCCAUGAAAACAACGAACUGUGUCAAUGGCAGCGAGAUUUGGACAUUGUUUGUUCUCUAAUAGAACAAGAGGGCUAGCAGGUGCGCUGCCCCUUACCUGCGCACUUGAUUCAUUGUGGUAUGGCAGCCGCGACUACUACUGCGUCCACCCCUUGUUGCUCACCCGGUGCACCGCCCCUCGCCGGCGAUGGCCAUCAUCAGCCAAGCCAUGCAAGCCUCCUGUGGCCCACAUGUAAGGGGGAGAGAGAGGUCGUGAGAGAAAGUUUUUUUAUAUAUUUUUAUUAGUUCAGCCUCACAUGCAAUUGUGUGUGAGAGAGGGGGUGAGAGUAAGAGUUUUUCAUUUUUUUAGAGUGGGUCCCAGAUGUAAGUGACACAUGGAGUCAAGGGCAAAAUGUCCAGCAAACGUCCAAAUAGCGGUCAAAGCCCUUUGACUUGACGGAAACAGAACGGAUGGGCAUUUCUAUAAGGACACCUAAUGGCAGAGGGGCAAUUUUGAGCAUGCUUCAAAAUUAGGGGCAAAUAUGAGUAGUGGGUUCGAGUUAGGGACACAGAUGUAAAAGACCCUUGAAGUUUUCCUGUUUAACAAUAAAAUUAUCAAACUCAUCCAAGCAUUGACUAGCAGACUUAUUAAGAGGAAUAUCACCUUCAUCAAAUCUAUAGAGAGAAUUUACCUUUACUGCCUGUUUCGAGUUAUUAAGACCAUGUAUUUCUUCAAUAGGUGGUAAAUUCUUAACAUCUUUAGCUUUAAUACCCUUUUCUUUCAUAGAUUUCUUUGCCUCUUGCAUAUCUUCAGGACUGAGAAAUAGAAUACCGCUUUUCUUCGGAGUUGGCUUAGGAGUUGGUUCAGGAAGUGUCCAAUCAUUAUCAUUACUCAAUAUAUUAUUCAAUAGCAAUUCAGCUUGCUCAACAGUCCUUUCCCUAAAAUCACAACCAGCAGAACUAUCCAGGUGGUCUCUGGAAGCAUUGGUUAGUCCAUUAUAAGAGAUAUCAAGUAUUUCAUUUUUCUUGAGAGGAUGAUCAGGCAAAGCAUUAAGUAAUUGGAGAAGCCUCCCCCAAGCUUGUGGGAGACUCUCUUCUUCAAUUUGCACAAAAUUAUAUAUUUCCCUUAAGGCAGCUUGUUUCUUAUGAGCAGAGAAAUAUUUAGUAGAGAAGUAAUAAAUCAUAUCCUGGGGACUACGCAAACAACCAGGAGCAAGAGAAUUAAACCAUGUUUUAGCAUCACCCUUUAAUGAGAACGGAAAUAACUUAAGGAUAUAGUAGUAACGAAUUUUUUCCUCAUGAGUGAAUAGGGUGGCUAUAUCAUUCAAUUCAGUCAGAUGUGCCACAACAGUUUCAGAUUCAUAGCCAUAAAAAGGAUCGGAUUCAACCAAAGUAAUUAACUCAGGAUCGACAGAGAAAUCAUAAUCCUUAUCGGAAAUACAGAUAGGUGAAGUAGCAAAAGCAGGGUCAUAUUUCAUUCUAGCAUUUAAAUACUUUUCUUUCAGCUUAGCUAACAGUUUCUUAAGAUCAUAUCUAUCUUUGCAAGCAAAAAGGUCUCUAGUAGUUUCUUCAUCCAUAACAUAACCCUCAGGCACAUCAGGCAAUUCAUAUCUAGGGGGAGAAUCUUCAUCAUCACUUCAUCAAUAUUAUCUGUUUCAAUAAUUUCAUUCUCUCUAACCCUAGCAAGUUGUUCAUCAAGAAAUUCACCUAAUGGCACAGUAUUAUCAAGCAUAGAAGUAGUUUCAUCAUAAGCAUCAUGCAUAGCAGAAGUGGCAUCAUCAAUAACAUGCGACCUAUCAGAAUCAAUAAUAGGUGUAGGUGUCGCAAGUUUACUCAAAACAGAAGGUGAAUCAAGUGGAGAGCUAGAUGGCAGUUCCUUACCUCCCCUCGUAGUUGAGGGAAAAUCUUGGUUUUUUCAUCUUUCAAGUUCCUCAUAGUGAUCAACAAAUAUAAAUCCCACGUGACUCAAAGAAUAGAGCUAUGCUCCCCGGCAACGGCGCCAGAAAAUAGUCUUGAUAACCCACAAGUAUAGGGGAUCGCAACAGUUUUCGAGGGUAGAGUAUUCAACCCAAAUUUAUUGAUUCGACACAAGGGGAGCCAAAGAAUAUUCUCAAGUAUUAGCAGUUGAGUUGUCAAUUCAACCACACUUGAAAGACUUAAUAUCUGCAGCAAAGUAUUUAGUAGCAAAAUAGUAUGGAAGUAACGGUAACGGUGGCAAAAGUAACAGUAGCGGUUUUAUAGCAAUCCUAACAAUGGCAACGGAAAUGUAACUAAGCAAAGAUUAAUAUGGGAAAAGCUCGUAGGCAAUGGAUCAAUGAUGGAUAAGUAUGUCGGAUGCAAUUCCUCAUGCAAUAGUUAUAACAUAGGGUGACACAGAACUAGCUCCAGUUCAUCAAUGUAAUGCAGGCAUGUAUUCCGAAUAUAGUCAUACGUGCUUAUGGAAAAGAACUUGCAUGACAUCUUUUGUCCUACCCUCCCGUGGCAGCGGGGUCCUAUUGGAAACUAAGGGAUAUUAAGGCCUCCUUUUAAUAGAGUACCCGACCAAAGCAUUAACACUUCGUGAAUACAUGAACUCCUCAAACUACGGUCAUCACCGGGAGUGGUCCUGAUUAUUGUCACUUCGGGGUUGCCGGAUCAUAACACAUAAUAGGUGACUAUUGACUUGCAAGAUAGGAUCAAGAACUCACAUAUAUUCAUGAAAACAUAAUAGAUUCAGAUCUGAAAUCAUGGCACUCGGGCCCUAGUGACAAGCAUUAAGCAUGGCAAAGUCAUAGCAACAUCAAUCUUAGAACAUAAUGGAUACUAGGGAACAAACCCUAACAAAACUAACUCGAUUAUAUGGUAAAUCUCAUCCAACCCAUCAUCGUCCAGCAAGCCUAUGAUGGGAUUACUCACGCACGGCGGUGAGCAUCAUGAAAUUGGUGAUGGAGGAUGGUUGAUGAUGACGACGGCGAUGGAUUCCCCUCUCCGGAGCCCCGAACGGACUCCAGAUCAGCCCUCCCGAGAGAGAUUAGGGCUUGGCGGCGGCUCCGUAUCAUAAAAUGCGAUGAAUCCUUCUCCUUUAUUUUUUUCUCCCUGAACGUGAAUAUAUGGAGUUGGAGUUGAGGUCGGUGGAGCUCCAGGGGGCCCACGAGAUAGGGGGCGCGCCCAGGGGGUUAGGGCGCGCUCCCCACCCUCAUGGCCAAGGUGUGGGCCCCCUUCGGUUGAUUCUUUCGCUAGUAUUUUUUAUUAAUUCCAAAAAGUGGCUCCGUGAAGUUUCAGGUCAUUCCGAGAACUUUUAUUUCUACACAAAAAUAACACCAUGGAAAUUAUGCUGAAAACAACGCCAAUCCGGGUUAGUUCCAUUCAAAUCAUGCAAGUUAGAGUCCAAAACAAGGUCAAAAGUGUUUGGAAAAGUAGAUACGUCGGAGAUGUAUCACCUCCCCCAAGCUUAAACCUUUGCUUGUCCUCAAGCAAUUCAGUUGACAAAAUAAGUGAUAAAAAAACUUUUACAAACUCUGUUUGAUCUUGUUGUUGCAAAUAUGUAAAGCCAGCAUUCAAGUUUUCAGCAAAGAUUAUGAACUAACCAUAUUCACAAUAACAUUUAGGUCUCAUGUUUACUCAUAUCAAUGGCAUAAUCAACUAGCGAGAAAUAAUAAUAAAUCUCGGAUGACAACACUUUCUCAAAACAAUCAUAACAUGAUAUAACAAAAUGGUAUCUCGCUAGCCCUUUCUGAGACCGCAAAACAUAAAUGCAGAGCACCCCUGAAGAUCAAGGAUUGACUAGACAUUGUAAGUCAUGGUAAAAGAGAUCCAGUCACAGUCAUACUCAAUGUAAAUUAAUAUCAAUGCAUGCGAAUGACAGCGGUGCUCUCCAACUAGUGAUUUUUAAUAAGAGGAUGAUGACUCAACAUAGAAGUAAAUAGAUAUGCCCUUCGUAGAGCGAAGCGGGGAUUUGCAGAGGUGCCAGAGCUCAAGUUUUGAAACAGAGGUAAAUAAUAUUUUGAGUGGCAUACUUUCAUUGUCAACAUAACAACCAAGAGAUCUCGAUAUCUUCCAUGCUACACACAUUAUAGGCGGUUCCCAAACAGAAUGGUAAAGUUUAUACUCCCCCACCACCAACAAGCACACUCCACGGCUGGUCCGAAACAACGGGUACCGUCUAUACCAACAACAGUCCUGGGGGAGUUUUGUUUGCAAUUAUUUUGAUUUGAUUUAAGCAUGAGACUGGGCAUCCCGAUUAUCGACCAUUUUCUCGUGAAUGAUGAGCGGAGUCCACUCAUCGUGAGAAUAACCCACCUAGCAUGGAAGAUAUAGACAAUCCUAGUUGAUACAUGAGCUAUUCGAGCAUACAAAACAGAAUUUCAUUUGAAGGUUUAGAGUAUGGCACAUACAAAUUUACUUGGAACGGCAGGUAAAUACCGCAUAUAGGAAGGUAUGAUGGACUCAUAUGGAAUAACUUUGGGGUUUAUGGAAGUGGAUGCACAAGCAGUAUUCCCGCUUAGUACAAGUGAAGGCUAGAAAGGGACUGGGAAGCGACCAACUAGAGAGUGACACGUCUCCAACGUAUCUAUAAUUUUUGAUUGUUCCAUGCUAUAUUAUAUUCUGUUUUGGACAUUAUUGGGCUUUAUUAUACACUUUUAUAUUAUUUUUGGGACUAACCUAUUAACCAGAGGCCCAGCCCAGAAUUGCUAUUUUUUUGCCUAUUUCAGAGUUUCACAGAAAAAGAAUAUCAAACGGAGUCCAAACGGAAUGAAACCUUCGGGAACAUGAUUUUCGGAACGAACGUGAUCCAGAGGACUUGGACCCUAUGUCAAGACAUCAACCAGGAAGGCACGAGGUAGGGGGCGCCUACUGAUGAGGACAUAGACCUGGGGUAGGGUCAUAGGCCAAACCUAUCAACCCUACCCAGGGUCAUUAUCAAGGAAACAAAGAGACCCAAAAGACAACAGGAAGGGCCCAGCCAAGGCGUCGAGUGCCAUCCACUCGACUGAUCAACCACUCGGAGAUCUGCCCUUCUUGUGAUCACUCGACUACAUGAAGAACAACUCGACCUAUUGAAGAUCAGGAGUCGACCGGCACCGCAACGGUCAGGCGUUCAUUCUGUAGUAUUCAAUACCAUUUAUAGCACUUAAUGCUGGCGUUACCAGUAACGCCCCAUCUUUAUGUACAUUGAACCUCUUGUAACGUGGGCUGGCUAGGGUCCUGGCGCACUCUAUAUAAGCCACCCCCCACCACUAGCACAAGGGUUCGCACCCCCUGUAAUACUCACACACACAUAACCAAUCGACCGCCUCCGGGCUCCGAGACGUAGGGCUGUUACUUCCUCCGAGAAGGGCCUGAACUCGAACACUGAUGUGUACAACUUCACCAUAGCUGGGAUCUUGCCUCUCCAUACCUAUCCCCUCCUCUACUGUCAGACUUGGGACCACGACAGUUGGCGCUCACCGUGGGGCAGGUGUCUUAGCGACUUUUCGGUGAAGUUGCACUUUUUUCCGAUUCCCAUCGUCAUGGUUUCCGGCGGAGGAUUGGCUGAGGGCUGCGAGAUCCUUCUCGGCGCGCUCGUCUUCAUCGCCGAGGACUCUUCCUGGCUCCAAGAAGCUCCACUCGAGGUUGAGGCGCUCCCCGUCCGCGGAGCAACGCACUUUCCCGCGUGCGUUCGCGGCAUCCUCCUCCGGCAGCAGUCGACUCAGUACCAGUCGGCUCCUGCGAUGUCCUCACUCCCCGCCACACACUGUCGCAAGUGAUCCGGUCGGUCGCGGCUUCAGCGGUGGGUGAGGCAUGCGGUGGCCCGCCAGUCGGCUACUCCGCAAGUCGCGGCAAUCGAGCCCGGUGAAUCUCUCUACGGCCUGUUCGACUGGCUCCGCAGAGACUGCGUCCGAGUGCGAUAGCAGCGAUCCCGCGACAGAGGUUUUGAUGGUCAACGGACCGCGUAGUCCCCCUGGCUUCCCCCACGAGGACGGCGGUGAUGGCAAUGGCGAUCCGUCGGAUGCCCACGAGGAGUACCGUCCCGAACCACUUUCUUCGCAGCAGAGGGAAGAGCUUCGCCGCCGCAAUAUGGAUGCACUCCACACUCCCAUCGUUGGGGAGACCCCCGAGGCUCGGGCCUUGGAAGAGGUGCGCUUGGCCAACCUGGCUGAACGCACUCGACUGUAUACCCUCCAGCGGGCUCUCGACGAGCGCGGUCGGCAGCGUAUCCCAGAUUCCAGUCGACGACAACUUUUUCCACCUCCACCGCAGGUAUAUCGCACGCCGAUUGGAAAUCUCACCGCUGCAGCUCGUAUAGCGGAGUCGAUUCAGCCCUCCCAAUCGGAGGCUGGCCGCGGUUUGAUGCAGAUCCGAGCUUUGCUCCGGGCGGCAUGAGAGCAGAAUACAACGGUAUCUCAGUCGCGGAAUAGGAUCCACAGCAGAUCUGUGAGGGCAGACACAGUUCAGUCGGCCCACAGCCCAAGAUCGCCCCUGAGGCGUGAGGGACGUGAGCCCCAGCAAGAUCAGCACAGGAACUAUAAACAGUAUGAUCACCGACUCGGUCGAGACGACCGCCGUCGAGUGCACACACCUCCUCCUCCGAGUGGAUCGAAUGUGCCUCGGCAACAUGAUGACAGACGCCCUCGCAGUGGCAGACGUGGAGGUCCAGUCGACCCCAGAGAACCAGGCUUUGAUGCAAGAUCAAUUCUUGUUCAAGGUUUGGUGGACAGGAACCGAGCGCACCGAGAGGGCCGUGACAGGGAUCAACCGACUGGCAACAGAGUUCAUGUCUCAGGCCCUGAGUGUUUUAGCAGAGCCAUUAGGGCCGCGGUGAUUCCUCCCAACUUCAGGUUGGCGACUGGGGUCAGCAAGUUCACUGGUGAGUCUAAGCCUGAUACUUGGCUAGAGGACUACCGAGUGGCUGUGCAGAUUGGAGGCGGCAAUGAUGAAGUGGCCAUGAAGCACCUACCCUUAAUGUUGGAGGGCUCAGCCAGAGCAUGGUUGACUCAGUUGACACCUGGCAGUAUAGAUAGCUGGGAAGAGCUCGCCAGAGUGUUUGUUAGGACCUUUGAAGGGACUUGCAAACGACCAGCGGGGCUGACAGAACUGCAGCACUGUGUGCAGAAACCGAAUAAAACUUUGAGGGAUUACUUUCAGAGGUGGACCACUUUGCAUCACACAGUGGAAAAUGUAUCUCAGCACCAAGCUGUUUGUGCCUUCAAGGAAGGCGUGAAGUAUCGGGAGCUAGUCUUGAAAUUCGGGCGGACAGGGGAUAUGUCCUUGACUCAGAUGAUGGAAAUAGCCACUCGGUACGCCAACGGAGAAGAAGAGGAUUAACUCUGCGGUGGGAAGAGCAAACCAGUCGGCCAAGAUGCCGGGGGUACGUCCACUCGGAAGCAGAAGCGCAAGGCUGAACCUGCUGCUCCUGGUGAAGCUUUGGCUGUGACUCAAGGGAAUUUAAGGGGAAGCCCAAAGGGCCCUGGACCCCCAAGAAAGUAAAGGAUCAAGCUGGAAAUGAUGUGUUGGAUUUCCCGUGACAUCCAUACCAAGAAAGAUGAAGAAGGCAAUUUCAUUUACCCCAAACAUACCACUCGACAGUGUCGACUCCUGAUCCAACAGUUCUGUGAGAAGCAGUCCGGUGACAAGGAGAAAGGGUUGGACAAGAGUGAAGAUAAGGAGGAAGAUGAUGAUGGUUUCCCUAACAUCAACUACACUCUGAUGAUUUUUGUUGAUGUCGAGAGCAAGAGUCGACUGAAAUUUAUCAACAGAGAGGUGAACAUGGUUGCUCCGGCAACACCCAGUUAUUUGAAGUGGUCUCAGACCGCCAUCACGUUCGACCAGUCUGAUCACCCGACGCAUAUAGCCACCCCUGGGAGGCAAGCAUUGGUGGUCGACCCUGUGGUAGAAGGCACUCAACUGACCAAAGUGCUGAUGGACGGUGGCAGUGGCCUGAACAUCCUUUAUGCUGAGACCUUGAAACAGAUGGGCAUUCCGAUGUCCAAGCUGAGAGAAAGCAAUAUGAGCUUCCAUGGUGUUAUACCUGGCAAGAAGGCUCAGUCACUCGGUCAGAUCGCCUUGGACGUGGUUUUCGGUGAUUCAAAGAAUUACCGCAAAGAGAAUUUGACGUUUGAAGUUGUGGAUUUCCAGAGUGCUUAUCAUGCUAUUUUGGGUAGGCCAUGUUACGUAUACCUCAAAUUGAAGAUGCCCGAUCACAGAGGAGUGAUCACCAUCACGGGCAAUCGGCAGAAGGCAGAGGAAUGCUUUCAGAAGGGUUCCAAAAUCGCUGAUGCACAAAUGGCAGUUGUUGAAUUGCAAGAGUACCAGAAGAACGCGGAUCCGAGUGAUUUGCUGCGGGCCAAGAAGCCUGCUACAGACUCUACAUUUCAGUCGACCAGUGAAACGAAGCCGAUUCAUAUUCACCCGACCGACCCCAACGCUGCUCUAACUCAUAUUUCAACGACACUCAACAGCAAAUAGGAAGAAGCGCUCAUCCAGUUCCUCCGUGAGAACUGGGACAUCUUCGCAUGGAAACCUUCUGACAUGCCGGGUGUACCCAGGGGACUGGCUGAGCACCGUUUGCGGGUCGAUUCAAAAGAAAAACCAGUCAAGGAACAUCUUCGACGGUCCGCCGUGCAGAAGAGAAAAGCAAUUGGUGAAGAAGUGGCUCGGCUCCUGGCAGCUGAGUUCAUCCGAGAGAUUUACCACUCUGAGUGGUUGGCCAAUGUUGUCAUGGUCCCCAAGAAGGACGACUCGCUUCGCAUGUGCAUUGACUUCAAGCAUAUCAAUCGGGCCUUCCCGAAAGAUCAUUUUCCUCUGCCCCGCAUCGACCAGAUUAUUGACUCGACUGCGGGGUGUGAGCGACUGUCUUUUCUGGACGCCUAUUCCGGGUACCAUCAGAUCCGACUGUAUGGGCCCGAUGAGAUAAAAACAGCUUUCAUCACUCCAUUCGGGUGCUUCUGUUAUGUCACCAUGCCAUUCGGCCUCAAGAACGCCGGAGCCACAUUCAUGAGGAUGAUUCAGAAGUGCCUGCUCACUCAAGUCAAUCGGAAAGUGGAAGCAUAUAUGGAUGACAUCGUGGUUAAUUCAUGCAAAAGUUUCGACCUGCUGACUGACCUUGCCGAAACCUUUGCCAACUUGAGAAGGUAUGAUAUCAAGCUAAACCCGUCGAGGUGCACAUUCGGAGUCCCAGGUGGGAAGUUACUCGGCUUCCUCGUUUCCGAAUGAGGGAUCGACGCAAACCCAGAGAAAGUUGGUACCAUCCUCCGAAUGAAACACCCCGUGCGCGUACAUGACGUUCAGAAGCUCACCGGGUGUUUGGCCGCCUUGAGUCGAUUCAUUUCUUGUCUUGGUGAAAAGGCCUUGCCUCUUUACCGACUGGUGAAGAAAUCUGACAAGUUUGAGUGGACUGACGAAGCUGACGCAGCGUUUGCAGAGCUCAAAGCCCUGCUUUCCACCCAGUCGGUGCUCGCUGCCCCAAUCAGCAAAGAGCCUUUACUGCUUGAUAUUGCAGCCACUGGACAAGUUGUCAGUACAGUACUCAUGGUCGAGUGAGAAGAAGAAGGAAAAGCUUAUAAGGUUCAGCGCCCAGUGUACUAUCUUUCGGAAGUUUUGACUCCAUCCAAGCAGAGAUACCCGCAUUGUCAGAAGCUUGUAUAUGGAAUCUAUAUGACCAUGAAGAAGGUUGCCCAUUGUUUUUAUGAUCACUCCAUUACAGUCGUCAGCGAUGCGCCACUGUCUGAAAUUUUGAACAACAGAGAUGCAACUGGUCGAGUGGCGAAGUGGGCAAUUGAACUCCUUCCUUUAGAUAUCAAGUUUGAGGCAAAGAAAGCUAUCAAGUCCCAAGCAAUCGCUGAUUUCCUUGCCGAGUGGAUUGAACAGCAAUUGCCGACUCAAGUUCACUCGGAGCAUUGGACCAUGUUCUUCGAUGGCUCCAAGAUGCUGAACGGUUCUGGUGCUGGGGUGGUAUUAGUAUCCCCCCGAGGAGACAAGCUCAGUUAUGUUCUCCAGAUUCACUUUGAUUCCUCCAACAAUGAAGCUGAAUACGAGGCUCUCCUGUACGGGUUACGUAUGGCCAUUUCAAUUGGCGUCCGUCGCCUCAUGGUCAACGGUGACUCAAAUUUAGUGGUUAAUCAAGUGAUGAAGGAGUGGGACGUCAGAAGCCCAGCUAUGACUAGUUAAUGUAAUGCAGUGAGAAAGCUGGAGAAGAAGUUUGAGGGGUUAGAGCUCCAUCAUAUACCCCGACUGAAAAAUCAAGCAGCUGAUGAUUUGGCGAAGAUAGGUUCCAAGAGAGAAGUUGUUCCCAGCAAUGUGUUUUUGGAGCGCAUUCAUAAACCUUCAGUGCAGGAAGAUCCCUUCACUGAAGAGCCCCCACAGCCAAAGAGCGCCACCGAUCCGACUGAAGUCGAAGUCCCAGCCGUGGUCGACUUGAUUAUGGAAGCUUUGGUCAUUACUCUCGACUGGACUGUGCCAUACAUCGCAUACAUUCUUAGGAAGGAACUCCUGGAGGAUGAAGAAGAAGCUCGUCAGAUCGUCCAUCGAUCCAAAGCCUUUACUGUGAUAAGAGGGCAACUGUUCAGAGAAAGUGUGACCGGAGUUUGUCAGAAGUGCAUAACACCAGAAGAAGGUCGAGUGAUCCUCAACGACAUCCACUCGGGGACCUGUGGCCACCAUGCGUCCUCUCGGACCAUCGUGGCUAAAGCAUACCGAGCGGGAUUCUAUGGGCCACGAGCAAAUCAAAUGGCAAAGGAAAUAGUGGACAAGUGUGAAGGUUGCCAAUUCUACUCCAACAUGUCCCACAAGCCUGCGUCUGCUCUGAAGACCAUUCCACUCGUCUGGCCUUUUGCUGUCUGGGGGUUAGAUAUGGUUGGACCUCUGAGGACCGGCAGGAGCGGCUUCACUCAUGUGCUGGUGGCAGUCGACAAGUUCACCAAAUGGAUUGAAGCCAAGCCUAUCAAGAAUCUUGAAGCCAGUACUGCUGUCAGUUUUAUCAGAGAGUUGACAUUCAGAUGUGGUGUGCCACACAGCAUCAUCACUGACAAUGGGUCGAACUUUGAUUCUGACGAGUUUAGAGAAUUCUGCGCUUCUCAAGGUACUCGGGUCGACUAUGCUUCAGUCGCCCAUCCCCAGUCAAGUGGACAAGCUGAAAGAGCAAAUGGAUUGAUUCUCAAAGGUCUUAAACCUCGACUGAUGCGUGAUCUCAAGCAUGCGGCAGGCGCCUGGGUCGAUGAACUUCCAUCAGUACUUUGGGGUCUAAGGACAACUCCCAAUCAGUCGACUGGCAGAACUCCGUUCUUCUUGGUCUACGGAGCCGAAACUGUUCUUCUGAGUGAUUUGCUCCACAAUGCGCCCCGAGUCAAGCUUUUCUCAGAGGCUGAGGCAGAGCAAGGACGGCAGGACGCAGUAGACCUCCUAGAAGAAGAAAGAGAAAUGGCCCUGAUUCGGUCGACCAUCUAUCAGCAAGACCUGCGUCGAUUCCACACCAGAAACGUUAGAGGUCGAGCCUUCCAGGAGGGAGAUUUGGUUCUUCGAGUGGAUCAGCAGAAACCACACAAACUUGCCCCAGCUUGGGAGGGCCCCUUCAUCAUCACCAAAGUGCUCCACAACGGAGCGUACCACCUCUACAACGUCGAACACAAUAAAGAUGAGCCACGUGCUUGGAAUGCGGAGCUGCUCCGCCCCUUUUAUACCUAAACACUCGGUCUGUCGAGAUGUAAUAAGAAACACCUGUUUAGUUUGGUUAUCAAAGACAGAGUUUUACAGUUACCUAAAUAUGAUUGCCAUCGAAUAACCUUGUGUUUAAAACCCCCAGUGGGCGACUUAGCUGCGAAUCCGUUUCGCCUAAGUUUGAAAAAUUCUACCGAGUGGCGAGCAAGCCUUUCACUCGGAGGCUUAGCUGCGAAUCUGUUUCGCCUAAGUUUGAAAAAAUCCUACCGAGUGGAGAGCAAGCCUCUCACUCGGAGGCUUAGCUGCGAAUCUGUUUUGCCUAAGUUUGAAAAAAUCCUACCGAGUGGCGAGCAACCCUCCCACUCGGGGGCUUAGCUGCAGUCCAGUACUCGCCUAAUAAGUUUGAAAAAUCCUACCGAGUGGCGAGCAACCCUCCCACUCGGGGGCUUAGCUGCAGUCCAGUACUCACCUAAGUUUGAAAAAUCCUACCGAGUGGCGAGCAACCCUCCCACUCGGGGGCUUAGCUGCAGUCCAGUACUCGCCUAAGUUUGAAAAAUCCUACCGAGUGGCGAGCAACCCUCCCACUCGGGGGCUUAGUUGCAGUCCANNNNNNNNNNNNNNNNNNNNNNNNNNNNNNNNNNNNNNNNNNNNNNNNNNNNNNNNNNNNNNNNNNNNNNNNNNNNNNNNNNNNNNNNNNNNNNNNNNNNNNNNNNNNNNNNNNNNNNNNNNNNNNNNNNNNNNNNNNNNNNNNNNNNNNNNNNNNNNNNNNNNNNNNNNNNNNNNNNNNNNNNNNNNNNNNNNNNNNNNNNNNNNNNNNNNNNNNNNNNNNNNNNNNNNNNNNNNNNNAGUCCAGUACUCGCCUAAGUUUGAAAAAUCCUACCGAGUGGCGAGCAACCCUCCCACUCGGGGGCUUAGCUGCAGUCCAGUACUCGCCUAAGUUUGAAAAAUCCUACCGAGUGGCGAGCAACCCUCCCACUCGGGGGCUUAGCUGCAGUCCAGUACUCGCCUAAGUUUGAAAAAUCCUACCGAGUGGCGAGCAACCCUCCCACUCGGGGGCUUAGCUGCAGUCCAGUACUCGCCUAAGUUUGAAAAAUCCUACCGAGUGGUGAAGCAACCCUCCCACUCGGGGGCUUAGCUGCAGUCCAGCACUCGCCUAAGUAUAAAAUACGUUCUGAAUGAGAACUGACCUUCUCACUCGGAGACUUGGCCACACGCUCCAUCCCGAUCCGCAGGGAUGACGAGGCGUGGGUCGACUGCGGCCUUCUCCUCAGAGCUGCGCCACAAGUAUAACGUACGCUCCAUCCCGAUCCGCAAGGAUGACGAGGCAUGGGUCGACUGCGACCUUCUCCUCAGAGCUGCGCCACAAGUAUAACGUACGCUCCAUCCCGGUCCGUAAGGACGACGAGGUGCAGGUCGACUACUACCUUCUCCUCAGAGCUGUGUCACAAGUAUAACGUACGCUCCAUCCUGGUCCGUAAGGACGACGAGGUGCAGGUCGACUGCUACCUUCUCCUUAGAGCUGCAUCACAAGUAUAAUGUCGACUGUCACCUUCCACCGUGAAGCUGCACCACUCAAAAUGUUAUUCCAGCUGAAGGAACAAGUACCACUCGGAGACAAACAUAAGCAUAUUUAGAGAUAAGCCAAAUUCAGAUAAAUCCUAAGGUUCCGGCAUACGGAUUAAAGUACUCGAGUGUCAAGCCCGAAGGAGUUUUAAUGAUUACACAAUCACUCGGCAUUCCGAGGCAAAUAAAGGUGAAGCAUAAAGUUUUUUGAGUCACUCGGCAGGUCUAGAACUGGCUGGAUCGCAGAAACUGCUGAGGUCUAUCUUGUCUGCAAUGCGAGUGGCGGCGUCGAGGAAAGUAUCCAUGAAGGACUGGAAAGUGAGCUUCUUGGUGUUGGCAACUUUCAGCGCCGCCAGCUUGUCCUCGUUGAUAUCCUUGCAGUGCACUCGAACCAGUGACAGAGCGACAUCAGCACCGCAGCGAGCAGAGGACUUCUUCCAUUCUUGCACUCAGUCUGGUAUCUGAUUCAGUCAAACCAUCAGAGACUCGAGGUCUUGAGACAGUUCCACCUGGGACCAGAGUUCAACAUCAACCCGAGUCAUCGCCGCCUUCAGACGGGCAAGAUAAGCGAUUGCGCUAUCCACGCGAGAUUCCAUCCGCAGCACGUUCAUUGCGACAUCAUCCCUGACUGGACAGUUUAUGGGAUCGAGACCAGUCUCGACCCGCCCAGUUUCUUCCUCGAAGUCUUGGCAAAGUUCUGCGCAGUCGAGUGAACAAUGAGUCGACAGGAUAGUAAGACUUAUUGGUCGACAACAACAAGACAACCGACCAACCCAUACCUUCAAGCUUUGAGACCAAUUUUGCAGCAAGCUGACCCAGAUAAGCUUCCAACUCGCCCUUCUUAGCCUUGAGACUUCCGAUCUCGUCAGUCAGCCUAUCCUUGUCUUUCUUCAAUUGCUCGAUUUCCCAGUUGGCGUCUGAGACGGCGGUCUUGAGUGUUGAAUUCUCUUCUUCCAACUUACCGACUGAAGCUAGCUUCUUGUCAGCAAGCGCCGUUUUCUCUCGCACCUCCUUCUGGGCAGCAGCAAGAUCGAGGUCCUUCUGCUCCAGAGCCUGCUUCAUUUUCUCUAAAGAAACAACAUUCUUCAGACGACCUUGAAGUUGACGGUUUUCACUACGCACAUCUGUUCGAGUGAAGUCACUCGGUUCAAAGUGACUAAGACACACACGGAAAAAUACAAGUUGUAAGAUAAGAAGUUGACGAUUGAUUACCUCCCAUGGCAGUCACUUCUUCACGAGCGGUCUUGAGGUUUUUCUGAGCCAGUUCCAGAUCAAGAUUGAGGCUGAUUUGUUGCUUGUUCGGUACGGAAAUCUGAGCUCCAUGAUCACAAGACUUCUGCAGUCAGCAUAUAAGUUAUAUCAGUCGACAGAAACUAAAGAGCGUCGCAGUGAAAGUUACUCUAAGACUACCAUCAAAUCAAACAUUCAACGGAAGUCUCGGGGACUACACCCAGUGGGUGCACUCAGCGUGCCCCCACUGGUUUGAUUCAACACUCGGCAUGGUCUGCCCAGCAUGAGUGUAAUAAUAAUAAAAAAGGCUGUUCCUCGGACCAUAGUCGAUUGCCCGCAGUUGACCACGGUCUCGGGGACUACACCCAGUGGGUGGACUCAGCAUGCCCCCACUGGUUUGAUUCAACACUCGGCAUGGUCUGCCCAGGUCGAUUGAAGAAAUUUAAAAUAUCAGACCACAGUCGACUGCCUGCAGUCAACCAUGGUCUCGGGGACUACACCCAGUGGGUCCACUCAGCGUGCCCCCACUGGUCCAACAGUGCAAGAGCUACAACCUGAUGGGCGGACAGAUGCAAGGUGCAAACUCAUGAUAGAUGCACAUAAAGUUCCAAAACGCUCAUCCACGACUCAGUCGACUCAAUCCUAGUCGACUCAAGCAGACUUAUACAACCUCAGGACAGACACACCCAGUGGGUGUUCGGAAUAAAAUCAGAUGGGAGAUAACUGACCUUAACAUUGGCCUCCAGGGCAGUGCUAGCGUUGUAGGCCACCUGACUGGCCUCGUGUAUCACCUUCACCUGCUCCAUAACAAGGGUCACUUGGCAAAGAGCCUCCCUAGCAGCACUUGGCGGGUCGUCUGGGGUUUGAUAUGCAGUAAAGAGUGAUGACUCCAGAGCAGUCGAGGCAGGGACUUGCGCUGAGGCAGCAGGAGCUGGAUUAACCGACCCCGACGGGCGAUCAGUCGUCAGUCGGCGAAUGUAACGCUGGUCCGAACCAGAUCUCCGGUUCGCUCGACCACCGCUUAGGGCACAGGCGUCGACUGAGAGACUUGGACUUCAGGCACCCUCCUUCUCGAGCCUUUGCCUCUCCUCUUCCUCUCCUUCGGAGGCAUUUCCUCUUCUUCGUCAUCGGGAAGCACGACAACGUCUCACAGAGCUGCAAAACAAUAGAACAUCAAUCGACCGACAAUUCAAUCGACGAAAACAGGUUUUGGUUAAGUAGACUCACCAGCUCGAGAGGAGGCCGCGUCAUCGGUCUCUUCAUCCCUUGUGGUCUUGUUGACGUCCAUAUCAGUCACAGCAGAGGCAGGGCUGGACAAGUUUGUCAUCCACUCGGUCAGAUCAGAAGAAACAGUCGGUACAAAGAAAAUACACGGAAAGAACAUGUUACCCAGAGGCGACGGGCACAUCCAUCUUGAUCUUUGGCAGGGUCUUCCGAGCCUUGAUGGGGUUGGUCUUGAGGUGCUUGGUGGUUUUCUCCGUCAUCUCCGGAGUCGAAGACCGAGCACGCUUGUGCACUUGAGUGCUCAAGGCCACAGCCUUACCGCGCCCGCCUGCUGGGUCGUGGUGUUGCUUGGAUCGGCGUUCGGUUCGGGGCGGCGAGUCGACCUCCUCCUCCUCGUCUGAUUCCUCGCUCUCAUCAUCAUCAUCGUCAUCGUCGUCUGGAGAUUCCCAUUCAGCGCUCUCCUCCGCGUUGUCCUCACCUUCUUGGUCCUGCGCUGGAGCCUGUUCGCCGUUAGGCAUCGAGUACGUCUCGGUAUAAAUCUGCAAAACGAGGAGUCAAGUGAAAAUCAGUCGGGUUCAAGGACAGUCAGAAUGCACGUUCAAAAACAGUCGGAAUAAAGGUCAUACCUUGUCACGCAGGUUGCCGUCGCUGAAGGGCACCACUCUCCUGGCUCCUCUGGGGUUGUCCUUGUUACCAGUAAUGCUUGUCAACCAAAUAGCCACCGUCUCAGCUGAUACUUCUUCAGGAUGCACCCGAGCAGAGUCACUAGGACCAGUAUACAUCCACAUGGGAUGAUCACGAUACUGUAGGGGCUGAAUGCGUCGACUAAGGAACACCUCUAGCAGAUCCAUACCAGUGACUCCCUGAUUUAUCAAAUGAACCACCCUCUCAACUAGCAUAUUCGUCUCAACUUGCUCAGCAGCGGUCACUUUCAAGGAAGAAGGGGUUUGAGCACGGUCAAAAGUAAAAGGGGGAAGUCCAUUCUGUUGACCAGGAGUUGCGAGGUCCUGGUAGUAGAACCAGGUCGACUGCCAGCCUCUAACUGACUCGGGAAAGGUCAUGGAAGGGAAAGAUCUCCUCUUCCUCUUCUGGAUGCCUAAGCCACGCACAUCUGGAUGACAUGGGUUUUCUCAUCACUCGAAUUUGUUUUCUUCAUCGACUGGGAGCGAAUGGUGAAGAUAUGUUUGAACAGACCCUAGUGCGGUCGACAUCCCAGGAAGUUCUCACACAUAGAUACAAACGCAGCAAGAUAGAUGAUGGUAUUGGGAGUGAAGUGAUGGAGUUGAGCACCAAAAAAGUUCAAGAAACCCCUGAAGAAGGCGUGUGGGCGAGAGAAAAACCCCAGUCGACGUGGGUGGCGAGCAGUACGCACUCACCAGGUCGGGGCUGCGGCGCCAUCUCGCUCCCCGGCAGCCUCGCCGCGCCCUUGGCGACCAGGCCGGAUUCCAUCAGCUCGUCCAUGUCAUCCCGCCGAAGCGAGGAUUGGAUCCAGUCGCCUUGGAUCCAACCUGCCGGCAGCUUCGAGCAUGAUGACGACCCGCGGUUCAGCUUUUUCCCCUUCGCCGUCCCCGCCGUCUUCUUUGCGCGCUCCAGCGUCUUCGUCUUGUCCUUCGCCAUGGUGGCGGAGCGGCGGCGUCGAGGCGGCGAAGCUAGAUGUCGUGGAGGAGCGGAGGAAGAAGAGAAGAAAUAGAUGCAAACAGUACCGGUACCUCGGCCCCCGUCGCCUUAUAAGGGGUCACUUCCGAGUGGCUGAUGGGUGGGUCCAAGCGAUCUUAUCAAAUCCCACAACAGCCGCGCGCGUCGUACGUGGCGAAAAAGGUGGCGCAGAGAUCGAGGCGCCCCUGUUUAUCCAUCCCGUCAACUUCAGCACGUCCCGUCCCGUGCGCUUCCCCGGAAAUUUUGAAUCCCAUGAGAUCCGGGAUACGCUGUGGUCAAUCGCGCUGAAGAUUCAGCGCACCAAAGCAACACUCGGCGGAUGGCAUUAUAAAUCCAAUCGACGAUUUCUGAAUCGAUCAAGGCGACUGAAAUAAAGCCGAGGUCCCAACAUUAGCCUCUGCACAAGCAGAAGAGCCGUGAAACAGAAGAGUCGAAGCGAGAUCAACCUCAACCUUUUUUUCACUCGGACCUCAAUCCAUUCGGGGCUAAUGAUGAGGACAUAGACCUGGGUAGGGUCAUAGGCCUGACCUAUCAACCCUACCCAGGGCCAUUAUCAAGGAAACAAAGAGACCCAAAAGACAACAGGAAGGGCCCAGCCACGGCGUCGAGUGCCAUCCACUCGACUGAUCAACCACUCGGAGAUCUGCCCUUCCUGUGAUCACUCGACUACAUGAAGAACCACUCGACCUAUUGAAGAUCAGGAGUCGACCGGCACUGCAACGGACAGAUGUUCAUUCUGUAGUAUUCAAUACCAUUUAUAGCACUUAAUGCUGGCGUUACCAGUAACGCCCCAUCUUUAUGUACAUUGAACCUCUUGUAACGUGGGCUGGCUGGGGUCCUGGCGCACUCUAUAUAAGCCACCCCCCACCACUAGCACAAGGGUUCGCACCCCCUGUAAUACUCACACACAUAACCAAUCGACCGCCUCCGGGCUCCGAGACGUAGGGCUGUUACUUCCUCCGAGAAGGGCCUGAACUCGUAAACUCGUGUGUACAACUUCACCAUAGCUGGGAUCUUGCCUCUCCAUACCUACCCCCCUCCUCUACUGUCAGACUUAGAACCACGACACCUACCCCCCUGGGCGCGCCCUCCACCCUCAUGGGCCCCACGUUACUCCACCGACGUACUUCUUCCUCCUAUAUAUACCUACGUACCCCCAAACUACCAGAUACAGAGCCAAAAACCUAAUUCCACCGCCGCAACCUUCUGUACCCAUGAGAUCCCAUCUUGGGGCCUUUUUCGGAGCUCCGCCGGAGGGGGCAUCGAUCACGGAGGGCUUCUACAUCAACACCAUAGCCUCUCCGAUGAUGUGUGAGUAGUUUACCUUAGACCUUCGGGUCCAUAGUUAUUAGCUAGAUGGCUUCUUCUCUCUUUUUGGAUCUCAAUACAAUGUUCUCCCCCUCUCUUGUGGAGAUCUAUUCGAUGUAAUCUUCUUUUGCGGUGUGUUUGUUGAGACCGAUGAAUUGUGGGUUUAUGAUCAAGUUUAUCUAUGAACAAUAUUUGAAUCUUCUCUGAAUUCUUUUAUGUAUGAUUGGUUAUCUUUGCAAGUCUCUUCGAAUUAUCAGUUUGGUUUGGCCUACUAGAUUGAUCUUUCUUGCAAUGGGAGAAGGGCUUAGCUUUGGGUUCAAUCUUGCGGUGUCCAUUCCCAGUGACAGCAGGGGCAGCAAGGCACGUAUUGUAUUGUUGCCAUCGAGGAUAAAAAGAUGGGGUUUAUAUCAUAUUGCAUGAGUUUAUACCUCUACAUCAUGUCAUCUUUCUUAAUGCGUUACUUAGUUCUUAUGAACUUAAUACUCUAGAUGCAUGCUGGAUAGCGGUCGAUGUGUGGAGUAAUAGUAGUAGAUGCAGGCAGGAGUUGGUCUACUUGUCUCAGACGUGAUGCCUAUAUACAUGAUCAUACCUAGAUAUUCUCAUAACUAUGCUCAAUUCUGUCAAUUGCUCAACAGUAAUUUGUUCACCCACCGUAAUACUUAUGCUCUCGAGAGAAGCCAUUAGUGAAACCUAUGGCCCCUGGGUCUAUUUUCCAUCAUAUUAAUCUUCCAACACUUAGUUAUUUUUAUUGCCUUUUAUUUUACUUUGCAUCUUUAUCAUAAAAAUACCAAAAAUAUUAUCUUAUCAUAUCUACCAGACCUCACUCUCGUAAGUGACCGUGAAGGGAUUGACAACCCCUUUAUUGCGUUGGUUGCGAGGAUUUAUUUGUUUGUGUAGGUGCGAGGGACUCGUGCGUGGACUCCUACUGGAUUGAUACCUUGGUUCUCAAAAACUGAGGGAAAUACUUACUCUACUUUACUACAUCACCCUUUCCUCUUCAAGGGAAAACCAACGCAGUGCUCAAGAGGUAGCAAGAAGGAUUUCUGGCGCCGUUGCCGGCGAGUCUACGCAAAAGUCAACAUACCAAGUACCCAUCACAAACCCUUAUCUCCCGCAUUACAUUAUUUGCCAUUUGCCUCUCGUUUUCCUCUCCCCCACUUCACCCUUGCCGUUUUAUUCGCCCUCUCUUUUCCGUUCGCCUCUUUUUCGCUCGCUUCUUGUUUGCUCGUGUGUUGGAUUGCUUGCUUGUCACGAUGGCUCAAGAUAAUACUAAAUUGUGUGACUUUACCAAUACCAACAACAAUGAUUUUCUUAGCACUCCGAUUGCUCCUCUUACCGAUACAAAAUCAUGUGAAAUUAAUGCUGCUUUGUUGAAUCUUGUCAUGAAAGAUCAAUUCGCCGGCCUUCCUAGUGAAGAUGCCGCUACCCAUCUAAAUAGCUUCGUUGAUUUGUGUGAUAUGCAAAAGAAGAAAGAUGUGGACAAUGAUAUUGUUAAAUUGAAGCUAUUUCCUUUUUCGCUUAGAUAUCGUGCUAAAGCUUGGUUUUCGUCUUUGCCUAAAAAUAGUAUUGAUUCUUGGAAUAAGUGCAAAGAUGCUUUUAUCUCUAAGUAUUUUCCUCCCGCUAAGAUCAUCUCUCUUAGAAACGACAUCAUGAAUUUUAAGCAACUUGAUCAUGAACAUGUUGCACAAGCUUGGGAGAGGAUGAAACUAAUGAUACGUAAUUGCCCUACUCAUGGUUUGAAUUUGUGGAUGAUUAUACAAAAAUUUAUGCCGGAUUGAAUUUUGCUUCUAGAAAUCUUUUAGAUUCGGCCGCGGGAGGCACUUUUAUGGAAAUCACUUUAGGAGAAGCUACUAAACUCCUAGAUAAUAUUAUGGUUAAUUAUUCUCAAUGGCACACUGAAAGAUCUACUAAUAAGAAAGUGCAUGCGAUAGAAGAAAUUAAUGUUUUGAGUGGAAAGAUGGAUGAACUUAUGAAAUUAUUUUCUAAUAAAAGUGUUUCUUCUGAUCCUAAUGAUAUGCCUUUGUCCACUUUGAUUGAGAAUAAUAAUGAAUCUAUGGAUGUGAAUUUUGUUGGUAGGAAUAAUUUUGGUAACAACGCAUAUAGAGGAAACUUUAAUCCUAGGCCGUAUCCUAGUAAUUCUUCUAAUAAGUAUGGUAAUUCCUACAACAAUUAUUAUGGAAAUUUUAAUAAGAUGCCCUCUGAAUUUGAGACUAGUGUUUAGGAGUUUAUGAAUUCGCAAAAGAAUUUCAAUGCUUUGCUUGAAGAAAAAAUGCUUAAAGUUGAUGAAUUGGCUAGGAACGUUGAUAGAAUUUCUCUUGAUGUUGAUUCUUUAAAACUUAGAUCUAUUCCACCUAAGCAUGAUACCAAUGAGUCUCUCAAAGCCAUGAGCAUUUCCAUUGAUGAGUGCAAAGAAAGAACCGCUAGGAUGCAUGCUAAGAAAGAUUGUUUUGUGAAAGCGUGUUCUUCUAGUUAUGAAAAUAAAGAUGAAGAUCUAAAAGUUAUUGAUGUGUCCCCUAUUAAAUCUUUGUUUAGCAAUAUGAAUCUUUAUAAUUAUGGGACUGAAUAUGAUCCACCUUUACCUAGGCUUCGGAUCUGUGAAGUUCAGGUUUUGGAGUAGAGGUCAGAGGCUAGUGCGGUCCAAAAUUUCGGAGUCUUUAGAUCUUGAUGCAAAAAUUGUUAAAAGUGGGAUUGAACAGAUCAAAACUCUAGAUAUUAACGAACCCACUAUUUUGGAUUUCAAGGAAUUUAAUUAUGAUAAUUGCUCUUUGAUAGAUUGUAUUUCCUUGUUGCAAUCCGUGCUAAAUUCUCCACAUGCUUAUAGCCAAAAUAAAGCUUUUACUAAACAUAUCGUUGAUGCUUUGAUGCAAUCUUAUGAAGAAAAACUUGAGUUGGAAGUUUCUAUCCCUAGAAAACUUUAUGAUGAGUGGGAACCUACUAUUAAGAUUAAAAUUAAAGAUCAUGAAUGCUAUGCUUUGUGUGAUUUGGGUGCUAGUGUUUCCACGAUUCCAAAGACUUUGUGUGAUUUGCUAGGUUUCCGUGAUUUUGAUGAUUGCUCUCUAAACUUGCACCUUGCGGAUUCCACCAUUAAGAAACCUAUGGGAAGAAUUAAUGAUGUUCUUAUUAUCGCAAAUAGGAACUAUGUGCCCGUAGAUUUUAUUGUUCUUGAUAUAGAUUGCAAUCCAUCAUGUCCUAUUAUUCUUAGAACGAUUGGUGCGAUUAUUGAUAUGAAGGAAGGGAAUAUUAGAUUCCAAUUUCCGUUAAGGAAAGGCAUGAAACACUUCCCUACAAAGAAAAUAAAAUUACCUUAUGAAUCUAUUAUGAGAGCCACUUAUGGAUUGCCUACCAAAGAUGGCAAUACCUAGAUCUAUCCUUGCUAUUAUGCCUAGCUAGGGGCGUUAAAUGAUAGCGCUUGUUGGGAGGCAACCCAAUUUUAUUUUUAGUUUUUUGCUUUUUGCUUCUGUUUAGGAAUAAAUAUUUGAUCUAGCCUCUGGUUAGAUGUGUUUUUAUGUUUUAAUUAGUGUUCGUGCCAAGUUAAACCUAUAGGAUCUUUUGGAUGAUAGUUAUUUGAUCUUGCUGAAAAUUCCAGAAACUUUCUGUUCACGAAAAUAAUUGUUAAAAAUCACCAGAACAUGAUAAAAUAUUGAUUCCAAUUUCUGCUGAUCAAUAAACAAAUUAUCUAGGUCUUCCUAUUUUGGCUGGAUUUUUAGAGUUCCAGAAGUUUGCGUUAGUUACAGAUUACUACAGACUGUUCUGUUUUUGACAGAUUCUGUUUUUCUUGUGUUGUUUGCUUAUUUUGAUGAAUCUAUGGCUAGUAAAAUAGUUUAUAAACCAUAGAGAAGUUGUAAUACAGUAGGUUUAACACCAAUAUAAAUAAAGAAUGAGUUCAUUACAGUAUCUUGAAGUGGUGUUUUGUUUUCUUUCGCUAACGGAGCUCACGAGAUUUUCUGUCAAGUUUUGUAUUGUGAAGUUUUCAAGUUUUGGGUGAAAGAUUUGAUGGCUUAUGGAACGAGGAGUGGCAAGAGCCUAAGCUUGGGGAUGCCCAUUGCACCCCAAGAUAAUUUAAGGACACCUAAAAGCCAAAGCUUGGGGAUGCCCCGGAAGGCAUCCCCUCUUUCGUCUACUUCCAUCGGUAACUUUACUUGGAGCUAUAUUUUUAUUCACCACACGAUAUGUGUUUUGCUUGGAGCGUCUUGUAUUAUUUGAGUCUAUGUUCUUAGUUUACCACAAUAAUCCUUGCUGUACACACCUUUUAAGAGAGACACACAUGAUUCGGAAAUUGUUAGAAUACUCUAUAUGCUUCACUUAUAUCUUUUGAGUUAUAUAGUUUUGCUCUAGUACUUCACUUAUAUCUUUUAGAGCACGGCGGUAGAUUUGUUUUAUAGAAACUAUUGUUCUCUCGUGCUUCACUUAUAUCUUUUUGAGAGUCCUAUAAAAUAGCAUGGCAAUUUGCUUUAACUAAAUAUCAUGAGAAAUUUGAUACUAGAUAAUUGUUUUGAGAUAUAAAGGUGGUAAUAUCAUAGUUGUGCUAGUUGAGUAAUUGUGGAAUUGAAAAAUACUUGUGUUGGAGUUUGUGAUUCCCGUAGCAAGCACGUAUGGUGAACCGGUAUGUAACGAAGUCGGAGCAUGAGGUAUUUAUUGAUUGUCAUCCUUUGUGUGGCGGUCGGGAUCGCGCGAUGGUUAACUCCUACCAACCCUUCCCCUAGGAGCAUGCGUAGUAGUACUUUGCUUCGAGGGCUAAUAAAUUUUUGCAAUAAGUAUAUGAGUUCUUUAUGACUAAUGUGAGUCCAUGGAUUAUACGCACACUUACCUUUCCGCAAUUUUCUAGCCUCUUCGGUACCGUGCAUUGCCCUUUCUCACCUUGAGAGUUGGUGCAAACUUCGCCGGUGCAUCCAAACCCCGUGAUAUGAUACACUCUAUCACACAUACACCUCCUUAUAUCUUCCUCAAAACAGCCACCAUACCUACCAAUUAUGGCAUUUCCAUAGCCAUUCCGAGAUAUAUUGCCAUGCAACUUUCCAUCGUUUCGUUUAUCAUGACACGUUCCAUCAUUGUCAUAUUGCUUUGCAUGAUCAUGUAGUUGACAUUGUAUUUGUGGCAAAGCCACCAUUCAUAAUUCUUUCAUACAUGUCGCUCUUGAUUCAUUGCAUAUCCCGGUACACCGCCGGAGGCAUCCACAUAGAGUCAUAUUUUGUUCUAAGUAUUGAGUUGUAAUUCAUGAGUUGUAAGUAAAUAAAAGUGUGAUGAUCAUCAUUAUUAGAGCAUUGUCCCAAGUGAGGAAAGGAUGAUGGAGACUAUGAUUCCCCCACAAGUCGGGAUGAGACUCCGGACUAAAAAAAAGAGGCCAUAAAAAAGGGAAAAGGCCCAAAUAAAAAAAUGAGAGAAAAAGAGAGAAGGGACAAUGUUACUAUCCUUUUACCACACUUGUGCUUCAAAGUAGCACCGUGAUAUUCAUAAUAGAGAGUCUCUUAUUUUGUCACUUUCAUAUACUAGUGGGAAAUUUCAUUAUAGAACUUGGCUUGUAUAUUCCAAUGAUGGGCUUCCUCAAAAUGCCCGAGGUCUUCGUGAGCAAGCAAGUUGGAUGCACACCCACUUAGUUUCUUUUUGAGCUUUCAUACACUUAUAGCUCUAGUGCAUCCGUUGCAUGGCAAUCCCUACUCCUUGAAUUAACAUAAAUUGAUGGGCAUCUCCAUAGCCCGUUCAUUAGCCUCGUUGAUGUGAGACUUUCUCCUUUUUUUGUCUUCCCACAUAACCCCUACCAUUAUACCUUAUUCCACCAUAGUGCUAUAUCCAUGGCUUGCGCUCAUGUAUUGCGUAAGAAUUGAAAAGGCUGAAGCGCGUUAAAAAGUAUGAACCAAUUGCUUGGCUAAAACCGGGGUUGUACAUGAUAUGAAUAUUUUGUGUGGGGAAGAUGGAGCAUAGCCAGAAUAUAUGACUUUGUAGGGAUAACUUGCUUUGGCUAUGUUAUUUUGAUAAGACAUAAUUGCUUGGUUAGCAUGCUUGAAUUAUUAUUGUUUUUAUGUCAACAUUAAACUCUUAUCCUGAAUCAUAUUAAAACUGAACAUUCGUGCCACAAUAAGAAGAAUUACACUGAAAUUAUGCUAAGUAGCAUUCCACAUCAAAAGUUCUGUUUUUAUCAUUUACCUACUCGAGGACGAGCAGGAAUUAAGCUUGGGAAUGCUUGAUACGUCUCCAACGUAUCUAUAAUUUUUGAUUGUUCCAUGCUAUAUUAUAUUCUGUUUUGGACAUUAUUGGGAUUUAUUAUACACUUUUAUAUUAUUUUUGGGACUAACCUAUUAACCAGAGGCCCAGCCCAGAAUUGCUGUUUUUUGCCUAUUUCAGAGUUUCGCAGAAAAAGAAUAUCAAACGGAGUCCAAACGGAAUGAAACCUUCGGGAACGUGAUUUUCGGAACGAACGUGAUCCAGAGGACUUGGACCCUACGUCAAGACAUCAACCAGGAAGGCAUGAGGUAGGGGGCGCGCCCACCCCCCUGGGCGCGCCCUCCACCCUCAUGGGCCCCACGUUGCUCCACCGACGUACUUCUUCCUCCUAUAUAUACCUACGUACCCCCAAACUACCAGAUACAGAGCCAAAAACCUAAUUCCACCGCCACAACCUUCUAUACCCGUGAGAUCCCAUCUUGGGGCCUUUUCCGGAGCUCCAGCGGAGGGGGCAUCGAUCACGGAGGGCUUCUACAUCAACACCAUAGCCUCUCCGAUGAUGUGUGAGUAGUUUACCUCAGACCUUCGGAUCCAUAGUUAUUAGCUAGAUGGCUUCUUCUCUCUUUUUGGAUCUCAAUACAAUGUUCUCCCCCUCUCUUGUGGAGAUCUAUUCGAUGUAAUCUUCUUUUGCGGUGUGUUUGUUGAGACCGACGAAUUGUGGGUUUAUGAUCAAGUUUAUCUAUGAACAAUAUUUGAAUCUUCUCUGAAUUCUUUUAUGUAUGAUUGGUUAUCUUUGCAAGUCUCUUCGAAUUAUCAGUUUGGUUUGGCCUACUAGAUUGAUCUUUCUUGCAAUGGGAGAAGUGCUUAGCUUUGGGUUCAAUCUUGCGGUGUCCUUUCCCAGUGACAGUAGGGGCAGCAAAGGCACGUAUUGUAUUGUUGCCAUCGAGGAUAACAAGAUGGGGUUUAUAUCAUAUUGCAUGAGUUUAUCCCUCUACAUCAUGUCAUCUUGCUUAAAGCGUUACUCUGUUCUUAUGAACUUAAUACUCUAGAUGCAUGCUGCAUAGCGGUUGAUGUGUGGAGUAAUAGUAGUAGAUGCAGGCAGGAGUCGGUCUACUUGUCUCGGACGUGAUGCCUAUAUACAUGAUCACACCUAGAUAUUCUCAUAACUAUGCUCAAUUCUGUCAAUUGCUCAACAGUAAUUUGUUCACCCACCGUAAUACUAAUGCUCUCGAGAGAAGCCACUAGUGAAACCUAUGGCCCCCGAGUCUAUUUUCCAUCAUAUUAAUCUUCCAACAAUUAGUUAUUUUUAUUGCCUUUUAUUUUACUUUGCAUCUUUAUCAUAAAAAUACCAAAAAUAUUAUCUUAUCAUAUCUACCAGAUCUCACUCUCGUAAGUGACCGUGAAGGGAUUGACAACCCCUUUAUUGCGUUGGUUGCGAGGAUUUAUUUGUUUGUGUAGGUGCGAGGGACUCGUGCGUGGCCUCCUACUGGAUUGAUACCUUGGUUCUCAAAAACUGAGGGAAAUACUUAUGCUACUUUACUGCAUCACCCUUUCCUUUUCAAGGGAAAACCAACGCAGUGCUCAAGAGGUAGCAGAGAGUGACAACAGUCAUGAAUAUGCAUUAAGAUUAAUCAACAAUGAGUGCAAGCAUGAGUAGGAUAUAAAUCACCAUGAACAUAAAUCGUGGAAGCUAUGUUGAUUUUGUUUCAACUACAUGCGUGAACAUGUGCCUAGUCAAGCCACUUGAAUCGUUCAAAGGAGGAUACCACCCUAUCAUACCACAUCACAACCAUUUUAAUAGCAUGUUGGCACACAUGGUAAACGAUUAUAAACUCCUAGCUAAUUAAGCAUGGCAUGAGCAACUAUAAUCUCUAAUUGUCAUUGCAAACAUGUUUCAUUCAUAAUAGGCUGAAUGAGGAACGAUGAACUAAUCAUAUUUACAAAAACAAGAUAGGUCGAGUUCAUACCAGCUUCUCUCAUCUCAAUCAGUCCAUCAUAUAUCGUCAUUAUUGCCUUUCACUCGCACGACCGAACGGUGUGGAUAAUAAUAAUAGUGCACGUGCAUUGGACUAAGCUGGAAUCUGCAAGCAUUUAAUACAUGGGAGAAGACAAGGUAAUAUGGGCUCUUGGUUAAAUCAACAAUAAUGCAUAUGAGAGCCACUCAACAUUUUCAUCAUGGUCUUCUCCUCUCGACCCCCAAAGAAAAGAAAAGAAAUAAAACUAUUUACACGGGAAAACUCCCAACAAGCAAAAGAAGAACGAGAAAUCUUUUUGGGUUUUCUAUUAAUUACUACUACUACACGCAUGGAAUGUAAAACUAGCUAAAAGCUACAACUAAUUUUUGUUUGUUUUUCUUAAGGUUUUUCAAACACACAAGAAGAAGGCCUAGAAAAGAAAAUAAACUAGCAUGGAUAGUACAAUGAAAAAGUAUUAGCACCGAUGAUUGGAAUGAGUGUGUGAACAUGAAUGUAAUGUCGGUGAGAAAUACGUACUCCCCCAAGCUUAGGCUUUUGGCCAAAGUUGGUCUAUGGCCACUGUUGGCCUGACGGAUAUCCAAAGUCAUAGCUGGGGACUGGGGUUGUACUGAGAUGCAGCAGCUACUGCCUCAAGAGCUGCAGCCCGGAGGCGAGCUGCCUCUGUCCUUCUCUCAUACUCGUUCGCCUCCUCCCUGGUUAUAUAAUAUCUCCUUUUUGCCUGAAAGUCAAAGAAAGUAGGAGCGGGAAGAGCAACAUGGACAGUAUGCCGUUUGUCAAAGAUUAGUCGGUACUGGAGGAACUGUUCAUUCCUCUCAAUAAAAUGAUGGCGAACCAUAGCACUAUAAUCUAGAUAAGCAGGAGGCAACUCUAUAUCAUUUUCAUGUAUGGGUACAUCAAGAUAAUUAGCUACACGAGUUGCAUAAAUUCCACCAAACAAAUCUCCACUUAUACUGUUAAGAUGCAACCUUCGUGCAACAAUGCCCCCCAAGUUAUAUUGUUUAUCACCUAAUACCGCACUCUUGAGAACACUAAGAUCUGGAACGCACAUGUGACAAGCCUCAUCUUUACCGUUAAUGCAUCUACCUAUAAAGAGAGCAAAAUAGUGUAUGGAAGGGAAAUGAAUGCUCCCUAUGGUAGCUUGUGUGAUUUCUCUAGAUUCCCCCACAGUGAUACUAGCAAGAAAGUCUUUAUAUUCAGAUUUGCGAGGUUCACUAACAUUGCCCCACUGCGGGAGUUUACAAGCAGUAUUAAAAUCUUCUAGGUCCAUGCUAUAUGAUUUAUCAUAAAGAUCAAAUAAAACAGUGUGAGAAUUGUGCGAUGAUGUAAAUUUAAACCUUCUCACAAAGGAAUCGGUUAGGUAGUAGUAUUGGGGGCACUUAUCUGACACGAAGUCCUCAAGAUCAGCAUUACGCACAUACGCGUCAAAUUUAUUCUUGAUGUCUGCCUGGACCAUAAACUCUUCCGACGACCAUUCACAAGGCCGCACUUGAGCUUCCCUCGGUGGUUCCUAGUCCGGCUCACGUAUCGCGAGCCUUGGUCCUUGCUUCCUUGAGGAACCACCUUGGUAUAUUUUCCUAUGCAUUUUUCUUUCUCUGAAAAAUUUCUGAAAUUUUAGUGACUCAAAAUAAAAGUGAACCAAACUCAGCAAGAUUGAUAGCAACUACUCCCACAAGUGCCUAGAGGCUAAAUCAUGCAUUAAAACUACUUUUGGCCAUAUAAGUUUGACAUGCAAGCUCAAGAACAUGGUCACCUUAGAAGCAAAAAAUUGCAAUAAAUAAAGCACUAGAACAAAAACUAAUUGGACCAUUGGAGGAGUCACAUACCGAAGAACAAUCUCCCAGAACAGUUUUGUGAAUGGAGCUUUGAGCAAGGAGAUCGAAAAUGGCAGCAAGAUAAGCUAGAACACGGGUUUGAGCUAUGGGAGGAUUUUUUUUCUAGAGGAAGACGAAGUGAGUGGGUGCUGGAAUAAGUGGAGGGGGUCCACAUGGGGCCCAUGAGGCAGGAGGGCGCGCCCUGCACCCUCGUGGCCAAAUGGUGGGUCCCCUUGGUGUGUUCUGAGUGCCAGAUAUUCUUAAAUAUUCUACGAAAAAUCAUAUUUCAUUUUCGGGGCAUUUGGAGAACUUUUAUUUUCUGGGUAUUUUUAUUGCAAGGAUAAUUCAGGAAAUAGACAGAAAAUGCUAUUUUUGCUUUAUUUACUCUAAAUAACAAAAAGUAAAAGGAGGAUAUAGAGAGUUGUGCUUUCUAACUUCAUCCAUCUCAUGCUCAUCAAAAAGGAAUCCACUAACAAGGUUGAUCAAGUCUUGUUAACAAACUCUUUCCGAAUAACAUGAAACCGGAGAAUUUCGAAUAACACUAGGUUACCUCAACGGGGAUAUGCAUUUCCCCAAUAAUAAGACUAUCAUAUUUCUUCUUGACGGUAGGAAGAGGAAAUUCAAAACCUCCAAUAAUAAUUGUUGAAAUUUUUCCAAUAGAAUUGAUACUGUGGACUUGAGGUUGUUUCCUCGGAAAGUGUACCGUAUGCUCAUUACCAUUAACAUGAAAAGUGACAUUGCCCUUGUUGCAAUCAAUAACAGCCCCUGCAGUAUUCAAAAAGGGUCUACCAAGGAUAAUAGACAUACUAUCGUCCUCGGAAAUAUCAAGAAUAACAAAGUCCGUUAAAAUAGUAACGUUUGCAACCAUAACAGGCACAUCCUCACAAAUACCGAUAGGCAUAGCAGUUGAUUUAUCGGCCAUUUGCAAAGAUAUUUCAGUAGGUGUCAACUUAUUCAAAUCAAGUAUACGAUAUAAAGAGAGAGGCAUAACACUAACACCGGCUCCAAGAUCACAUAAAGUAGUUUUAACAUAGUUUCUUUUAAUGGAGCAUGGUAUAGUUGGUACUCCUGGAUCUCCUAGUUUCUUUGGUAUUCCACCUUUAAAAGUAUAAUUGGCAAGCAUGGUGGAAAUUUCAGCUUCCGGUAUCUUUCUUUUAUUUGUAACAAUAUCUUUCAUAUAAUUAGCAUAAGGAUUCAUUUUAAGCAUAUCAGUCAAAUGCACACGCAAAAAUAUAGGUCUAAUCAUUUCAGCAAAGCGCUCGAAAUCCUCAUCAUCCUUUUUCUUGGAUGGUUUAGGAGGAAAAGGCAUGGGUUUCUGAACCCAUGGUUCUCUUUCUUUACCGUGCUUCCUAGCAACGAAGUCUUUCUUAUCAUAACGUUGAUUCUUUGAUUGUUGGUUAUCAAGAUCAACAGCAGGUUCAAUCUCUACAUCAUUGUUAUUGCUAGGUUGAGCAUCAACAUGAACAUCAUCAUUAUCACUAGGUUCACCAGUCAUCAACCCGUGCGGCUGCACGGGCUAGGUACUUACAUGUUCAGCAUUAUAGCGUAUAUUUAAAACUUUAUUUCACUUUGCUUUAAUCGACUUUUCUAUGAGUCUAUGUUCUAUUUAUUUAAUGUAUACAUUAUAUAUAUGAAGAUAUUAAAAAAACUGUAAUAAAAAACAUACUCUAAAUAUUACACCCAAAGAAGCACCAAUUUUAAGAGACACGAAAGAAGCACCAAUAAAUCUGAGGCACAUAAAGCAAUUAAUUGCGUUCCUUUGACCUGCAGAUAAUUUCCCUCUUUUCUCAAGUAGAUAUUGGUGGAAAACCUCACGUGAGAUACAUACCGGGUGAAGCAGAAAUUAUGAGAUGGUCUGCAGAAGUUCCUUCCCGGCAACUCCGACUUCGUCGUCAAGGUGUGCUGCACCAUUGCCUGAGUCAAGGGAUGAUCCCCGAGUUCGGCUCUGACUAUAUAGCGAGAACUUUGACGGAGCCGGCAACAUAUCUAGCUUCCUAACUCUUUUUAAAAAAAUUAUUAGGCACACUCUUUUUUGACAGUGAGGCUUCAGGCCACUCUUUUUAUUGUACGUGCAUGGAUUUUCUUAUUUUUGGGAUUGGGAUGUGGACCCUUUGUUAACGUGAGGCAUGAGGACCUUUUUUUAUCUUGCUCGUGGACUUCCUUUGUGCACAUUGUUUUUGUUUGUACAGAACACGUGGCUGUUGGGGACUCUUUUUGUACUUGUGGGGAAGAAGGCAUGUUGUUUUUCUUCCUACCGAAUUAGACCUGGUUUUUUUUAGAAACUUUAGAUAUGGGUGUUCCAGAAACUGUACCUGGGCAUUGUUUUUUGAGAAAUCUUAGACGUGACCAUUGUAGAUUCUAUUUUGUAAAUGUGGGCACAAUCCAAUUUUUGUACGUUUUAUGUGUUUACUUGAUUAAUGGAGGCUUAUUUUUAUUUCACGGGCAAUCAGCCAGGUCGUGAUAUUUUCCCCUUUUAUUGUAGGAUUUUUGUUUGACAUUUUAUCCUUGGAUUUAUUAGCGGAAACUUUCCUUUUUUGUUUGACAUUUUAUCCUUGGAUUUAUUAGCGGAAUCUUUCCUUUUAUUUUUUAAAAACAUGUGAAGACUUUCCUUGUGGCAGAAUAUUUGAUUGGUGGAGGCAUAUUUUUUAUUUCACGGGCAAUCAGCUGGUUCGUGAAUUUUUUUCCAUCUAUCCUUGGAUUUUUGUUGGAGUUUUUGUGUUGGACUUUCACGGGCAUAUUUUUUGUGUUGGAGUUUUUAACUGAGGCUUUCUGUUUUAUUUUUUAUUUAGGAAGGGGUGAAGGCGCUCCUGGCUCCUUGUUUUGUUUCAUCAUAAAUGUUAGACGUGGCAGAUCCGGUUUUAAAGGGAAGAAAAUGAGAGCGCAGGAGGUUUUCCAUUUUAUUUUUUAGGAACGGGUGGAGGGUUUCCUUGUUUUGCUUCAUUAUUAAAUGUCAGACAUGUCAAGAUCCGUAUUUUUUGCGUCCGAAUUGAGAGCGCAGGCUUUACUUUUUAUUAUAUUUUUGAAAACGGAUGGAGGCUUUCCUUGUAUUUUUCAUUAAUGUUUUUUCAUCCUUUUUUUUCUUUAAUGUUAGACAUGUCAGAUCUAUUUUUCAUGGAACCGGAAUAACAGCACCGGGUGUUUUUAAAGUGGGCUUUCCUUUUUUAUUAGUAACCCGUGUCAAAUCCAUAUUUAUGGGACGUGACAUGCGUUACGCAAGAUUUUUUCUAAUCCUGGACGUCCUUGUUUUUUCAUUAAUGUAGAUGUGAUAUAUCCAUAUUUAUGGGACGGGAUCAGCUCUAUGCGUUACGCAAGAUGUCUUUUAAUCUUGAACGUAAAUUUUACUAUCUAACGGAUCAAUUAAUUCUGAUGAUGUGGAUUAAGGAAAGGGCAUGAAUGGUGCCUCCAAUUAGUAAAUAUAAGAUGUUCAUUACCAGAUUGUGUUUCAGCAUCAGAAAUAGAAAUAUUAUUGGGAUUCUCAGGUGUGUCAACAACGGGUUCACUAGAAGCAUGCAAAGUUCUAUCAUUUUUCUUUUUCUUCUUUUUAGAAGGAUUAGGUGCAUCAACAUUAGUUCUCUGAGAAUCUUGCUCAAUUCUCUUAGGGUGGCCCUCGGGAUACAAAGGUUCCUGGGUCAUUCUACCCCCUCUAGUCACAACUCUAACAGCAUUAUCAUUUUUCUUAUUAUUUAAUUCAUUGAGCAAAUCAUCUUGAGCUUUAAGUACUUGUUCCACCUGAGUGGUAACCAUACAAGCAUGUUUACUAAUAAGUUUAAGCUCACCUUUAACUCUAGACAUAUAAUCACUCAAGUGUUCAAUCAUAUAAGCAUUAUGUUUCAAUUGUCUACCAACAUAAGCAUUGAAGUUUUCCUGUUUAACAAUAAAAUUAUCAAACUCAUCCAAGCAUUGACUAGCAGGCUUAUUAAGAGGAAUAUCGCCUUCAUCAAAUCUAUAGAGAGAAUUUACCUUUACUGCCUGUGUCGGGUUAUUAAGAUCGUGUAUUUCUUCAAUAGGUGGUAAAUUCUUAACAUCUUCAGCUUUAAUACCCUUUUCUUUCAUAGAUUUCUUUGCCUCUUGCAUAUCUUCAGGACUGAGGAAUAAAAUACCCCUUUUCUUCGGAGUUGGCUUAGGAGUUGGUUCAGGCAGUGUCCAAUCAUUAUCAUUACUCAAUAUAUUGUUCAAUAGCAAUUAAUACAACCAACACAACUAUCCAGGUGGUCUCUGGAAGCAUCGGUUAGUCCAUUAUAAAAGAUAUCAAGUGUUUCAUUUUUUUUGAGAGGAUGAUCAGGCAAAGCAUUAAGUAAUUGGAGAAGCCUCCCCCAAGCUUGUGGGAGACUCUCUUCUUCAAUUUGCACAAAAUUAUAUAUUUCCCUUAAGGCAGCUUGUUUCUUAUGAGCGGGGAAAUUUUUAGCAGAGAAGUAAUAAAUCAUAUCCUGGGGACUACACACACAACUAGGAGCAAGAGAAUUAAACCAUGUUUUAGCAUCACCCUUUAAUGAGAACAGAAAUAACUUAAGGAUAUGGUAGUAAC